AAAAAUAUACCACAUUGAAAACGCCGGUUUUCGUCCGAUCACCGAAGUUAAGCAACGUCGGGCCCGGUCAGUACUUGGGAGGGUGACCAAAUAUUUACAAAAAGUU